rnacentral:lncRNA from 1 species
GAGGGUCUCAAUGCAGACGUAAGCUUUCAUCUGAUUGGUAAAGAUAAAUGGAAAGUUUCCCCUAAAAUGGCCUGAGUCAUGAGGGGCUGGCACACUGUAAAAAAUUACUGAUGCAAAAAGUUGUACAAAUGAGGAAAUACAUGUUGGCUCAACAUAAUGGUUGUGUCAAAAAAGAAAAAUAUGUUUGGUCAAUGAUUGCAUGAUUUCCAUGAUUGUACUACAAAAUGUUCAUCAAGAGAAAAUAAAUAAUUAUGUUGAGAUAACUUUUAACGUUGCACAAAAAGUAUUAUGUUGGCCGAGCAAGAGAGAACAGCGUCAAUCGUCUGAGCAUGCGCAAAAGAGUUCUACCAGGCAGCGCUGCAGCAGGCUGGAGUCACGACAUUGCAUUGUCAGCAUUCCUGACAUCGCUGGACAAUCACACCCAGGGGUUGCUAAAGAUGUACAGAGCCAAAAGCAAGACUGGGAAGGUGGAACAACUUGGAUGAACUUCUGGAACAACUGGAUGCCCAGGAUACUGAGGCACUGGGGCCACACACAAAGGCCAUGAAAAUGAAGUGACUGACAGUUCUACCAACUCAGGACCUUAUCCCACAGUGGUCAAUGUGGCUGUAGUAGUGGAGGAGGAAGUUGUCAUGGACAAUCUGGGAGACUUCACAAAUUCCCUCAUGAUGUUUGUUUCGGCACUGGUUGAAUACUUGUGUAAUAUUUUACUUGAGCAUAACAGGCAAAUUCAUAUGUAUUUAAAUAAAUAAAUAAAAUGUUUUUUUUUAUCAAAGCCUAGUGUGUAAUUUAUUUGAAAUAAUGAAAAAUAGACUAUUUUGACCAAGAAUAAAUAUUUAAUACAACAUUUUAUUUCAAUUUGAGUCUGCUUGUUGGCCCAACAAGCUAUGUUUAGUCAACAGAAAAUAUUUAAUUGACACAACAUUCUAUUUCAAGUUCAGUCUACAUGCAGGGGUAGUCAGCACAACACAAAAAAGUUGGUUUCCGCAACUUAAAUUGGGCCAACUAAAAAUUUUAGGUGCAACGGGUCACUAGAAAUUUUUAUGUUGGAGAGGCAUAUUUUUUUUUACAGUGCAGUAAACUGAGCUGCUCUCUGUAUGAAAGAAGCAUGAGCACAACUUAACCACACACCAGUCACCUUAUAUACUUUUUUGCUCUGAUUUGGCCUUAUGAUCAAUCACCUGACCUGAAAUUUAACUGUACUUUAGAUUAUUUGAUUGAUAUGUUCAGCCGUAUCUUUGUUUCAGACAUGCAGAUUAUCAUCCUCAUUUGAGACAUUUUAUACUUUACAUUUUACACGCAAUCAGCUAGUCAGUUCAUGCCUGUCAUGAGUGUAUAAUCUUUUUAAUCAAACUGCACAUGCACAAUUCAUGAGAUUCUUUGUUUUAUUGUCAUAGGUUCAGUUCAGUAUAAACAUGUCAAAACAGAAACACACACGUUUUUCAUUCAGAGUGCUCACAAACACUUCACAUUUGCAACACAUCAUGAGACUCUCUCUUCC